CGAACGCUGACGGCGUGCUUAACACAUGCAAGUCGAACGAGAAACUCCGCCUUCGGGUGGAUUAGUAAAGUGGCGCACGGGUGCGUAACGCGUGGGUAAUCUACCUUCGAGUUAGGGAUAACACUGUGAAAACGGUGCUAAUACCUGAUAAGCUCACAGUUAUAAAAGACAGUGGGAAAAGGUGGCCUCUGAUAUAAGCUAUCGCUUGGAGAUGAGCCCGCGUACCAUUAGCUUGUUGGUAGGGUAACGGCCUACCAAGGCUACGAUGGUUAGCUGGCCUGAGAGGGUGGUCAGCCACACUGGAACUGAGACACGGUCCAGACUCCUACGGGAGGCAGCAGUGGGGAAUAUUGCGCAAUGGGGGAAACCCUGACGCAGCGACGCCGUGUGAGUGAUGAAGGCUUUCGGGUCGUAAAGCUCUGUCAAAUGGGAAGAAUAAGAGCAUGGAAAAUAUUCAUGUUCGAUGACGGUACCAUUAAAGGAAGCACCGGCUAACUCC
rnacentral:rRNA from 1 species